GCGGGGUUAGUUAAGUGGUAUAACUGCGGCCUCCAAAUCCGCUAUCGGGGGUUCGAUUCCCUCACCCCGUG
rfam:Candidatus Moranbacteria bacterium RIFOXYB1_FTLL_43_19 rifoxyb1_full_scaffold_32, whole genome shotgun sequence.